GCCGGCGUAGCUCAGUCUGGGAGAGCGGCGGGCUGUUAACCCGUCGGUCGGAGGUUCAAAUCCUCCCGCCGGCG
rnacentral:tRNA from 3 species